UAGCAGCACGUAAAUAUUGGUGUUAUGACUGUUAAUAUCUCCAGUAUUAACUGUGCUGCUGAA
rnacentral:pre_miRNA from 1 species